GACGAACGCUGGCGGCGUGCUUAACACAUGCCAGUCGAACGGAAAGGCCCUGCUUUUGUGGGGUGCUCGAGUGGCGAACGGGUGAGUAACACGUGAGUAACCUGCCCUUGACUUUGGGAUAACUUCAGGAACCUGGGGCUAAUACCGGAUAGGAGCUCCUGCUGCAUGGUGGGGGUUGGAAAGUUUCGGCGGUUGGGGAUGGACUCGCGGCUUAUCAGCUUGUUGGUGGGGUAGUGGCUUACCAAGGCUUUGACGGGUAGCCGGCCUGAGAGGGUGACCGGCCACAUUGGGACUGAGAUACGGCCCAGACUCCUACGGGAGGCAGCAGUGGGGAAUAUUGCACAAUGGGCGGAAGCCUGAUGCAGCAACGCCGCGUGCGGGAUGACGGCCUUCGGGUUGUAAACCGCUUUCGCCUGUGACGAAGCGUGAGUGACGGUAAUGGGUAAAGAAGCACCGGCUAACUACGUG
rnacentral:rRNA from 1 species